AAUUCGGAUCCCUACUUCAUCCCUGGAGGUCCUUAUUUAUAGCAUUUUUGAUGUACGAGGUUUUGAAUUCCUCUCUCAUGAGCUUGGCAAGUUAGUGGGAGAAUCAUUCCGUUAGGUAGCAGAAUUUCUCAGAGUUAGUGGUGCUUCAAAUCGGUGUGGUCCCUCAAAUGGCAGGAUGAGGUUUUGUCUGUAGUGAAUCCGUGGUUUAUGUUGUGAUAGAUGCAUGUUUACAAGGUUUGGAAGAUUGACGAGUAUGUUUCAUCGUGACAGGUUUUGUCAUGCUAUCAUGCUAUCUUGAAUGCUGACUGCUGGAUUGGUUUCUCUCACAUAUCUUAGGACAUGUUUGGUUUUGGUUGAAGGAUGGGUAGGUAGAUGGCAUAGUUAUGUGAUGGAUAGACUUGCAUCAUGAGUUUGGCAUGUGGUUGUGC